UAUUUCCUGCUAUUCUCGUGAUGAGCACUUUUGCUACCUUAUUUUAAUGUAACGGGAUUUGUCCCUGGAGGUGGUGUGCAUGCCUUAUUAUUAAGGAAGCCUUAAACCUCUACACGCUAUCCCACCUGGAGAUCCAGGUACAGGAGUUUUCACACGGUUUUGCGGCAAUAUC
rnacentral:other from 1 species